CGGAAUCACUGGGCGUAAAGGGCCCGUAGGUGGCGGCCCAAGUCCAUGGUGAAAGCUCGUCGCUCAACGACGAGUCGGCCACGGAUACUGGGUUGCUCGAGCACUGUAGAGGCAGAUGGAAUUCCGGGUGUAGCGGUGGAAUGCGUAGAGAUCCGGAAGAACACCGGUGGCGAAGGCGGUCUGCUGGGCAGUAGCUGACACUGAGGCGCGACAGCGUGGGGAGCAAACAGG
rnacentral:rRNA from 1 species